rnacentral:rRNA from 1 species
ACUCCUACGGGAGGCAGCAGUGGGGAAUAUUGGACAAUGGGCGCAAGCCUGAUCCAGCCAUGCCGCGUGAGUGAUGAAGGCCUUAGGGUUGUAAAGCUCUUUCGCUAGGGAAGAUAAUGACGGUACCUAGUAAAGAAGCCCCGGCUAACUUCGUGCCAGCAGCCGCGGUAAUACGAAGGGGGCUAACGUUGUUCGGAUUUACUGGGCGUAAAGCGCACGUAGGCGGAUUAGUCAGUUAGGGGUGAAAAUCCCGGAGCUCAACUCCGGAAACUGCCUUUAAUACUGCUAGUCUUGAGAUCGGGAGAGGUGUAUGGAACUCCUAGUGUAGAGGUGGAAUUCGUAGAUAUUAGGAAGAACACCAGUGGCGAAAGGCGAUACACUGGCCCGAUACUGACGCUGAGGUGCGAAAGCGUGGGGAGCAAAACAGGAUUAGAUACCCUGGUAGCUCGAUGU